GACGAACGCUGGCGGCGUGCUUAACACAUGCAAGUCGAACGAUGAAGCCUAGCUUGCUAGGUGGAUUAGUGGCGAACGGGUGAGUAAUACGUGAGUGACCUACCUUUGACUCUGGGAUAAGCCUGGGAAACUGGGUCUAAUACCGGAUACGACCAAUCUCCGCAUGGGGUGUUGGUGGAAAGCGUUAUGGAGUGGUUUUAGAUGGGCUCACGGCCUAUCAGCUUGUUGGUGAGGUAAUGGCUUACCAAGGCGACGACGGGUAGCCGGCCUGAGAGGGUGACCGGCCACACUGGGACUGAGACACGGCCCAGACUCCUACGGGAGGCAGCAGUGGGGAAUAUUGCACAAUGGGCGCAAGCCUGAUGCAGCGACGCCGCGUGAGGGAUGACGGCCUUCGGGUUGUAAACCUCUGUUAGCAUCGAAGAAGCGAAAGUGACGGUAGGUGCAGAGAAAGC
rnacentral:rRNA from 1 species